AACGAACGCUGGCGGCAGGCCUAACACAUGCAAGUCGAGCGAACCCUUCGGGGUUAGCGGCGGACGGGUUAGUAACGCGUGGGAAUAUGCCCUUCUCUACGGAAUAGUCUCGGGAAACUGGGGGUAAUACCGUAUACGCCUACGGGGAGGAGAUUAUCGGAGAAGGAUAGCCGCGUGGAUAGGUAGUUGGUGGGUAGUGGCCUACCAAGCCUACGAUCCAUAGCUGGUUUGAGAGGAUGAUCAGCAACACUGGGACUGAGACACGGCCCAGACUCCUACGGGAGGCAGCAGUGGGGAAGUCUUAGACAAUGGGCGCAAGCCUGAUCUAGCCAUGCCGCGUGGACGAUGAAGGCCUUAGGGUUGUAAAGUCCUUUCAGAUGGGAAGAUAAUGACGGUACCAUCAGAAGAAGCCCCGGCUAACUCCGUGCCAGCAGCCGCGGUAAAGUAU
rnacentral:rRNA from 1 species